rnacentral:rRNA from 1 species
AUGUUCUGUGGUGGAAAGCUUUUGCGGUGUGGGAUGGGCCCGCGGCCUAUCAGCUUGUUGGUGGGGUGAUGGCCUACCAAGGCGACGACGGGUAGCCGGCCUGAGAGGGUGUCCGGCCACACUGGGACUGAGAUACGGCCCAGACUCCUACGGGAGGCAGCAGUGGGGAAUAUUGCACAAUGGGCGCAAGCCUGAUGCAGCGACGCCGCGUGGGGGAUGACGGCCUUCGGGUUGUAAACCUCUUUCAGUAUCGGCGAAGCUCCGUGGUUUUCUGCGGGGUGACGGUAGGUACAGAAGAAGCACCGGCCAACUACGUGCCAGCAGCCGCGGUAAUACGU